UCCGACCUCAGAUCGGACGAGAUUACCCG
rnacentral:rRNA from 1 species